rnacentral:misc_RNA from 1 species
UUUUCAUGAGAGGUGGGAGGAUUUUUUUUUUCUGCAUAUAACUUCAGAUACACGAUUUUAAAUUUUUUUAAAAAAACUGAUGUGUAUUUUUGAAAACAGUGCAAUAAAAUCCCGCACUCAGAAUAGCAAGUUUAAGACAACUUGUGCGCGGUAUAGAUUGGUGAUCCAUUAGCAGCGGCUACUGCAGUUUCUUACUAGUAGUACAAAUUAUACAUCACUAGUUUACGCAAGAGCUUGCUCAAAAAGAGAGUACAUGGGAUUACUACUCCUCCCUAUACAUCGAUCGAUACAAGUACAAGGCGCGCGCGCAGCGGCGUGCCAUGCCGGUUCAAGCGCGCGGCCGGCCAUGUGCGCGCGUGUUGGGCCCGGGCACAUCAAAAGCUCGGUACGACGCCGUAGCCGAAGUCGAGCACAUAUGACAUCGGCACGGCGGCCUCGGCCUCGGCCUCAGCGUCGUCGGCGUCGGCGUCCCCGUCGUGGUCAGCACGCUUGGCAAACCGGCCCUUGAUUCGCGGCCGCGUCUCGGCGUAGGCCUUCCGGGACGCGUACCGGAUGGUCUUCUCGAAGCGCCUGUUCUUCCUUUUCUCACGGUACCGCAUCAGGCGCGCCUCCCUGCUCUCCCCCAUCAGCGGCACCGGCCUCACCGCAGCCAAGUCUCCCCGCUCCGGCACCACCUCCACGUCCGCGGAUGGCACCUGCAUACGGAACCGAUCGAGUCCGCAACGAUACGUCAGGACGAGCACAUGGAGUGUCUAACGGAUGUGCGUCCCGAAAGUUGGGAGCUUGGUUGGGGUCCUACGCUGUGGCUCUGGGGAGUCCCGGUGUAUGGCAUGUAGGAGGAGUGCUUAACGCCGAUGCCGCACGUGAAGUCCAGCUCGACGGCAGCGCCGGCGCCGUUGGGGACGACGCUGUCAGCGUGCUGGAAGCGCGGGAUCUCGACGCUGAGGUAGGGAUCCAGUUCAGAGAAGAGGUAGUCCAGCUUCAUGUCCUUGGCCUCCACGUUGAGGUUCAGCGCGUGCGCGUGCGCGUGCGCGUGCUCGGCCGCCGCGUGCUGCUCGUCGGCCUCGGAAGCGGCCGCCUCGCCGGUCCCGAACAGCAUGGCCUCCACGGCCGCGGCGGCGGCCUCGGAGCCGAUGGGGGCGACGGGGACCCGCGCGUGGCGCCGGGCCAGCGGGUUGGCGUCGUGGAUGUCGGAGUCGCAGGCGGCGCAGAGCACGGCGGCGUCGGCCUUGCACGUGACGGCGGCGGGGGCCAGCUCGCAGACCUCGCACAUCCACACGCGCUCGUGGCCCAGGCGCGCGUGCGCGGGCCGGGCGUCGCACGUCGUGCAGAGGAAGGAUCCACCAACGCACGUGCGGCAGUGCACCGCCGCCGGGGCCCCCUCGCAGCUGCCGCACCGCCGGCCCCCCACGCCCCAGUACUUGUGCAGCUCCAUCGAACGUGGUCACCAAGCAGCAGGUGUGCGCGCCCGCCUUCUCCUGGCUGGACGCGGCUAAGAGGAGGCUCAGCUGGACGCGGCAAUGGUGAAGCGGUUCUUGUGGUGGUGGGGGAGGGAAGGCAGAGUGGCUGGCGUAGUAGUGGAGGGAGGCAGCGCAGC